rnacentral:rRNA from 1 species
AUGCAUGCACGGCGAUGCCGACGUGGGCGGUCAUGGCGUUCCUGCUCUCUGUCAUUGCGGCGGCGUCGCAGCUGCAGCCCGUGGCGCGCGCGGCGGCUCCAGGGACCCCAGGCGCCGGCGUUACGCUGCAGGAAGAUCAGCACCAGGUGCGCGCGCUACCAGCUGCUGAUGGUGGUGGACAACGGCAUUGUGCAGGUGGCAGUGUCCAAGCCGCAGGGCCAGAUCAUCGCCGUCCGUUAUGUCGACGACACUAACCUCCUCUACUUCAACAACGAUGAGAUAUCAGGCGGGUACUGGGAUGUAGUUUGGAACUUUCCAGGAUCGGGAUAUCCCAGGGGCAUGAACGACAUGUUGGAUGGUACCGAGUUCAGGGUGGUAUCUGCCACCGAGGAGCAAGUGGAGCUCUCUUUCAUGAGAACCUACGACCCAUCACGCCUCAACAGCAUCCCGCUCACCGUCGACAAGAGGCUGGUGAUGCUGAGAGGCGGCUCCGGGUUCUACUGCUACGCCAUCUUCGAGCACGCCGGCGGCUGGCCGGCCGUCGACGUCUCCGAGGCCCGGCUCGUCUUCAAGCUCGACCCCACGACGUUCAACUACAUGGCCGUCUCGGACGGGAUCCAGAGGUACAUGCCGGGGGCGGCGGACCGGGACGCGCCCCGGGCCGUGCCGCUCGCGUACAAGGAGGCCGUGCUGCUCGUGCACCCGUCGGAGCCGCAGUUUGCUGGGGAGGUGGACGACAAGUACCAGUACUCGAUGGACAACAAGGACAACCGCGUCCACGGAUGGAUCGCCGGUGCCGGUGGUGGUGGCGGCCCGGUGACCGUGGGGUUCUGGGUGGUCACCCCCAGCAACGAGUUCAAGAGCGGCGGCCCCCUCAAGCGCGAGCUCACCUCCCACAUCGGCCCCACCUCGUUGACUAUGUUCAUGGGGACUCAUUACAUCGGGAAGGAUAUGGUGGCGAAGAUCGAGGCCGGCGAGCACUGGAAGAAGGUCAUGGGGCCGGUGUUCAUCUACCUCAACUCCAACCCACAGCGGGGAGGCUUCCAGGCGCUGUGGGAGGACGCCAAGGCGCAGGCGGAGGUCGAGGCGAGCCAAUGGCCGUACAGCUUCCCGUUGUCGCCGGACUUCCACAGGGCAGGCGAGAGGGGCUCCGUCACCGGUCGGUUGCUGGUCAGAGACAGGUACACGACCGGCGGCGAGGACGUGCCCGCCCGGCUGGCCUAUGUCGGCCUCGCCGCUCCGGGGCAGCCCGGCUCCUGGGCGACGGAGAGCAAGGUACAUAGGCACGCAAAGAACCCACCGAAACUCGAUGAGAAAUUUUUGGAUAUGCUCAUCCUUGUUGCCGACUUGCCAUGGAUUCAGGGUUACCAGUUCUGGACGAGGGCGUCGGCGACCGGCGGCAGCUUCGCCAUCGGCAACGUCCGGGCAGGAGAGUACAACCUCUACGCCUGGGUCCCCGGGGUCCUCGGCGACUACAUGCGCACGGAUCCGGUAACGGUGGUGCCCGGCGUCGCCGUUGCCCUCGGCGACCUCGUGUUCGAGCCGCCGCGAUCGGGGCCGACGCUGUGGGACAUCGGCGUGCCAGACCGGAGCGCCGCCGAGUUCUUCGUCCCCGAUCCCAACCCCAGGUAUCUCAGCAAGCUCUUCGUCGCCAGGGACAAGUACAGGCAGUACGGGCUGUGGGAGCGGUACGCCGAGCUGUACCCCGCCGGCGACCCCGUCUUCACCAUCGGCGUGAGCAACCCCUUCAAGGACUGGUUCUUCGCGCAUGUCACAAGGAAGACGGGCAACGGCGAGAACGUGCCGACGACGCGGCGGAUCCGGUUCAACCUGCCCCGCGUCGCCGGCGGCGGCACCUACACGCUGCGCAUCGCGCUCGCGGCGGCGCACAUGUCCAAGCUGAAGGUGCAGGUGAACGGGGCGACGGGGAAGGGGCCGGCCGGGGGAGUGUUCUUGACGCCCGAGUUCGGGGACGACAACGCGAUCGCGAGGCACGGCGAGCACGGCAGGUGGUGGAGCUUCGAGUUCCCGAUUGACGGGCGGCUGCUGGUGCAAGGGGAGAACACCAUCGGCGUCACGCAGCCGAGGGCGUCCAGCGUGUUCGUGGGGGUCAUGUACGAUUACGUCCGGCUGGAAGGGCCGCCCGGUUGGGAUUCUGGCGUCACAAGUAGUGCUGGCCUAGGAAAAAUCUUGCCUCUCGGUUUGCUAUGUGGGCUUGUCGUGCUACCAACAUUGAUAUUUCUGCUAAGCAAGUGA